rnacentral:lncRNA from 1 species
CUUGCAUGAGGCUAGGUACACGUGACUGUAAGAAGGCCCCGAGGGAAACCCGGGCUUCCUCUCCCUCCAGCAGUCUACUGGCAGAUGAUAGUUUUCCCCCUCUACACAAACGAAGACGAGAGAGAUGGAGGUUUUGAGGUCAUUACGGGUAGCCGGAUUGAAUGAGUGUAUCCUCUUCUGCAGGUGAGGUCUUCUAUUGAUGGUGGUGGCUGAUAUCAACGCCAACCUCCUGGAGAGUUCCUCGUGUGUCACACAGUCUACAUUAUGGUGAGCAUUCUUUGGUCCGCCACCGUUGCCAAAUUCCCCGUUGCCGAGUUCAC